rnacentral:misc_RNA from 1 species
AAGUCGUAACAAGGUCUCCGUUGGUGAACCAGCGGAAGGAUCAUUAACACAUCGUUAAUCAUCAAACCAAAUGUGAACUGUAAGACCCUGUUUUAUUAUUAUUUCAAUAGACUUCGGUCGAUUGAAGCAGCAAUGGCGCAGACAAUACCCCCCUAGUAGUUAUUACCGGCUUCUAGGUGACUUCGGUUGCCCAAAAGUCGUUAAUAAUGAACUAUUCACCAAUUUAACCCUAUAACUAAAAACUGUCUAAUCUUCAUAAACUUGUUGACUACUUCGGUAGUUUAUAAGCUUUACGAAAUAUCGAACAACUCUUAGCAAUGGAUAUCUUGGGUCAU